GAUUUGAUCCUGGCUCAGAUUGAACGCUGGCGGCAUGCCUUACACAUGCAAGUCGAACGGCAGCACGGGAGCUUGCUCCUGGUGGCGAGUGGCGAACGGGUGAGUAAUGCAUCGGAACGUAUCCUGGAGUGGGGGAUAACGUAGCGAAAGUUACGCUAAUACCGCAUAUUCUGUGAGCAGGAAAGCGGGGGACCUUCGGGCCUCGCGCUCUUGGAGCGGCCGAUGUCGGAUUAGCUAGUUGGUGAGGUAAAGGCGUCACCAAGGCGACGAUCCGUAGCAGGUCUGAGAGGAUGAUCUGCCACACUGGAACUGAGACACGGUCCAGACUCCUAC
rnacentral:rRNA from 1 species